rnacentral:rRNA from 1 species
GACGAACGCUGGCGGCGUGCUUAACACAUGCAAGUCGAACGGAAAGGCCCUUCUUUUUUGGUCUUCUCGAUUGCCGAAAGGGUGCGUAACACGUGAGUAACCUGCCCUUCACUUUCGUAUAACUUCAGGUAACUUUGGCUACUACCUGAUAGGAUCUCCCUCUGCAUUGUGGGCGUUGGAACUUUUCGGCUGUUGGGGAUUGACUCGCGGCUUAUCAGCUUGUUGGUGGAGUAGUUGCUUACCCAGGCUUUGCAGGGUAGCCGGCCUGGGAGGGUGACCGGCGACAUGGGGACUGAGAGACGGACCAGACGCGUACGGGAGGCAGCAGGGGGGAAUAUUGCACAAUGGGCGGAAGCCGGAUGCAGAAACGCCGCGGGCGGGAUGACGGCCUGCGGGGUGUAAACAGCUGUAGCCUGUGACGAAGCGUGAGUGACGGUAAUGAGUAAAGAAGCACCGGCUAACUACGUG